rnacentral:sRNA from 1 species
AUUAUUACUAAAAAUCAAAUAUAAUUUAGUGGCCAGUAGUAUCUAAUACUCUAUCCAUUUAUGGAGAAAUCCACCAGUCACAUAUGUAAAGUGUAAUUUUGAUGUUGGUUUCGAUUUACAGAAGUUGGAAGCUACAGGAGGUUGGAUCAUCAGAAAUCAUUACGGGACACCAAUCUCAUGGGGUUCAAUAAAGUUGGCUCACACGAAUAAUCCGCUUGAGGCAGAAACCAAAGCUCUUUUGGCGGCUUUACAACAAACCUGGAUUCGAGGAUACACACAAGUACUUAUAGAAGGCGAUUGUCAGACGCUAAUUAACUUAAUUAAUGGGACUUCGUCUCACAGUUCCUUAGCAAAUCACCUGGAGGACAUUCGUUUUUGGUCAAAUAAAUUUGCAAGCAUUCAGUUUGGUUUUAUUAGGAGAAAGGGAAACAAAUUAGCUCAUGUCUUAGCGAAAUAUGGUUGUACCUAUUCUUCUUUUUAUUCUGGUUCUGGUUUUUUACCUAUUUGGCUUGAUCGAUAUUUUUGUAAUGACCCUAAUUGAUUAAUAUAAUUGUUUUGACGUAAAAAAAAA